GAGGACCGUAUUCAUGGAAGAGGAUCGAACAGAGAUGAAGUAGACAGUAUGUUGGAUAAAUCUGAAGGAAAUUGUCAAUAUUAAGAAAGUGUUAUAAUUUUGUAAUCUCCACUGUAUAGUACAAAUAAACAUGUUUCAAGAAAAAUGAUCAGCACACCUUAAAAGACACAAAGGACAGUAAACAACCCAGCAAUUGGUAAAGAUGAAAAUAUAUCGCCUCAAGUAAAAGGACAUGAAGACAGGGGACAUGAAAUAGGCAGUAUGUUGGAUAAAUCUGGAGGUCUCUGCUAAGAAAAACUGAGAACUUCACUAUGACAUUUAUAAGACGCUUCACAUAAAGAGAAAAUGGAUGGAAACUUAUGUCAAAGAAUCUUUCAAAGGCAGGAACCAGAAAUUAGAAAGAUUUUGCAAAAUGAACGAACGAGAGAGGAAGAACAUCAACAACAAAUUUUGUGAGCAGUAUAUAACUACAUUUCAGAAGUCUUAUAUGGAUGUACAGAAAUUCAAUGAGGAAAAAGAAAAAUCAGUGAAUAGUUGUCAAAAAGAACAACAAGCAUUGAAACUGUCCAAAUGUAGUCAGAACCAGACCCUGGAAGCAGGUAAAGAAAUGCAUGAGAAGUCCAUGGAGCUGCAUCAUUGGACUCAAACUGAAUGGUCCAUGUGUUGCCACUGAUGUGAGCCAUU
rnacentral:lncRNA from 1 species